UAACGCGUUAAGUCCCGCCGCCUGGGGAGUACGGCCGCAAGGUUAAAACUCAAAGGAAUUGGCGGGGGCCCGCACAAGCGGUGGAGCAUGUGGUUUAAUUCGAUGCUAACCGAAGAACCUUACCAGGGCUUGACAUGUACCGGAAGACUGCUAGAAAUAGUAGUCGCCUCUUCGGAGGCCGGUACACAGGUGCUGCAUGGCUGUCGUCAGCUCGUGCCGUGAGGUGUGGGGUUAAGUCCCUAAACGAGCGCAACCCCUAUCCCUAGUUGCCAGCGGUUCGGCCGGGCACUCUAGGGAAACUGCCAGCGAUAAGCUGGAGGAAGGAGGGGAUGACGUCAAGUCAGUAUGGCCCUUAUGCCCUGGGCUACACACAUGCUACAAUGGGCGGUACAAUGGGUUUUGCUACCCCGUGAGGGGGAGCUAAUCCCUAAAGCCGCCCCCAGUGCAGAUUGCAGUCUGCAACUCGACUGCAUGAAGCCGGAAUCGCUAGUAAUCGCGGAUCAGCAAUGCCGCGGUGAAUACGUUCUCGGGCCUUGCACACACCGCCCGUCACACCAGCCGAGUCGGUUCAGCCUGAAGACGC
rnacentral:rRNA from 1 species